AGAAUGGAAUACUAGUUUUGCAUCAAAUGUAUGUAAAAAUCUAGCUUUUAUAUAUUAACUUGUGAUCAGAGCAACUGAUAUUUUACAUAUCCAUUCGAUGUUUAUCACCAGAAGUUAGUUCUACCUUUGCAGUACCUCUGCUCUACAUACCUCCUCGCUGGUUAAAGAAUGGAAUAUAAAUCUCAUAUCAAGUUGGUGUAAAAAUUUAGUUCAAUAAAAUAAGAAUUUGUAAACGUUAUCAAAAUUUUGAGCGGAGCAAUUGUUUUUCUGGUUUAGCAUGAGUAUGAAUCUGAUAUCAAUUGAAUGUACAAAGAUAGUUUACUACUUAAAGAACCUAUCAGUAAACCAACUGAUUAUAAAACAGUUUUUAAUGGGAAUAAAAACAAAUUUU